AACGAACGCUGGCGGCAUGCCUAACACAUGCAAGUCGAACGAGACCUUCGGGUCUAGUGGCGCACGGGUGCGUAACGCGUUGGAACCUGCCCUUAGGUUCGGAAUAACUCCCCGAAAGGGGUUCUAAUACCGGAUAAUGUCUUCGGACCAAAGAUUUAUCGCCUUUGGAUGGGCCCGCGUUGGAUUAGCUAGUUGGUAGGGUAAAAGCCUACCAAGGCGACGAUCCAUAGCUGGUCUGAGAGGAUGAUCAGCCACACUGGGACUGAGACACGGCCCAGACUCCUACGAGAGGCAGCAGUGGGGAAUAUUGGACAAUAGGCGAAAGCCUGAUCCAGCAAUGCCGCGUGAGUGAUGAAGGCCUUAGGGUUGUAAAGCUCUUUUACCCGGGAUGAUAAUGACAGUACCGGGAGAAUAAGCUCCGGCUAACUCCGUG
rnacentral:rRNA from 1 species